CCUACGGGAGGCAGCAGUAGGGAAUCUUCCACAAUGGGCGAAAGCCUGAUGGAGCAACGCCGCGUGAGUGAUGAAGGCCUUCGGGUUGUAAAACUCUGUCAUUCGGGACGAACCGGAGUCUGAGGAAAUGCAGACUCUCUGACGGUACCGGAGGAGGAAGCCCCGGCUAACUACGUGCCAGCAGCCGCGGUAAUACGUAGGGGGCAAGCGUUGUCCGGAUUCACUGGGCGUAAAGCGCGCGCAGGCGGUGAUGUAAGUCUGAGGUGAAAACCCCGAAGCUCAACUUCGGGACUGCCUUGGAUACUGCGUCACUUGAGGAUAGGAGAGGCAAGGGGAAUUCCACGUGUAGCGGUGAAAUGCGUAGAGAUGUGGAGGAACACCUGUGGCGAAGGCGCCUUGCUGGCCUAUUCUGACGCUGAGGCGCGAAAGCGUGGGGAGCAAACAGGAUUAGAUACCCUGGUAGUCCACGCUGUAAACGAUGAGUGCUAGGUGUAGGUGGGCUCAUACCCAUCUGUGCCGAAGCUAACGCAUUAGCNCNCGCGNGGNGNGNGNGAGAGNGANAGAGAGUAGAGNGNGNGNGNGCGAGNNACGNGGNG
rnacentral:rRNA from 1 species